UACGUAGGGUGCAAGCGUUGUCCGGAAUUAUUGGGCGUAAAGAGCUCGUAGGCGGCUUGUCGCGUCGGCUGUGAAAACCUGGGGCUCAACCCCGGGCCUGCAGCCGAUACGGGCAAGCUAGAAUUCGGUAGGGGAGACUGGAAUUCCUGGUGUAGCGGUGAAAUGCGCAGAUAUCAGGAGGAACACCGGUGGCGAAGGCGCCACUCUGGGCCGAUACUGACGCUGAGGAGCGAAAGCGUGGGGAGCGAACAGG
rnacentral:rRNA from 1 species